UAGUCCACGCCGUAAACGAUGAUAACUAGCUGUCCGAACCCACAGGGUUUGGGUGGCGCAGCUAACGCAUUAAGUUAUCCGCCUGGGGAGUACGGCCGCAAGGUUAAAACUCAAACGAAUUGACGGGGACCCGCACAAGCGGUGGAUGAUGUGGAUUAAUUCGAUGCAACGCGAAAAACCUUACCUACACUUGACAUGUCAGGAACUUUCAAGAGAUUGAUUGGUGCCCGAAAGGGAACCUGAACACAGGUGCUGCAUGGCUGUCGACAGCUCGUGCCGUGAGGUGUUGGGUUAAGUCCCGCAACGAGCGCAACCCCUUUCGUUAGUUGCCAUCACAUAAUGGUGGGGACUCUAGCGAUACUGCCAGCGUAAGCCGAGAGGAAGGUGGGGACGACGUCAAAUCAUCAUGGCCUUUAUGCCCAGGGCUACACACGUGCUACAAUGGCCAGGACAGAGGGUCGCCAACCCGCGAGGGGGAGCCAAUCUCAGAAACCUGGUCCCAGUUCGGAUUGGAGU
rnacentral:rRNA from 1 species